AUCUAUGGUGAUACUACCCUGAUCCCAAAAGCUAAGCAGUGUCGGGACUGGCAAGUGCUUAGAUGGGAGACCUCCUGGGAAUAUGGGCGCUAUAAGCU
rfam:Papio anubis isolate 1X1155 chromosome 19, whole genome shotgun sequence.